CAAGAAGAGCCCAUGGCUAGCUCCCAUGAACCUUUGGUAUCUGUGUAAUGGCAAGAGACCCGGAGGAAAACCCUGGCACAUUGAGGGGGUCACCUGUGGAAGAUUUAGAGGUGAUUGCAUAUUCUGAGAUGGGAGUGCCCAGGUAACCCGUGAGACCAGGAGAUCCAUAAAGCCCUCCAAGAUUCCAGAGCCAAUGUCAGCAAUAGCCAAGGGCUGGGAAGGGCCAGCACAGCAGCUGGGUGACCGCUCAACAAGCAGGUUGUCUGUCAGCUGAGACACUGAAACCUAAGAGGAGCCAGCCCAGGUGAGCAUAAGAGUGACUCAUCCAUCACCAAUGCCACACCCCCAAGCCAACUUGGUGGAACUCUUCAAAGGAAGAAAAGGAUUCUUACAAGGAGACCUCAGUUCUAAAUGAAACUCUGCCGUGCACUCUCCUGGGGACAGACAAUACCAGUUGGCAGAUGGCAGAUAUUUUCCCAGGGAAGUUUUCAUCAUCUCAUCCCCCAUGGGAAGGGGCAAGAGAUGG